rnacentral:rRNA from 1 species
AUUGAACGCUGGCGGCAUGCUUUACACAUGCAAGUCGAACGGCAGCGGGGGCUUCGGCCUGCCGGCGAGUGGCGAACGGGUGAGUAAUGCAUCGGAACGUGCCCAGUCAUGGGGGGAUAACUACGCGAAAGCGUAGCUAAUACCGCAUACGCCCUGAGGGGGAAAGCGGGGGAUCGCAAGACCUCGCGUGAUUGGAGCGGCCGAUGUCGGAUUAGCUGGUUGGUGGGUAAAGGCCUACCAAGGCGACGAUCCGUAGCGGGUCUGAGAGGAUGAUCCGCCACACUGGGACUGAGACACGGCCCAGACUCCUACGGGAGACAGCAGUGGGGAAUUUUGGACAAUGGGGGCAACCCUGAUCCAGCCAUGCCGCGUGAGUGAA